rnacentral:rRNA from 1 species
UCAAGCUACUAAGGGCAUACGGUGGAUGCCUAGGCGCCAAGAGCCGAAGAAGGACGCGGUAAGCUGCGAAAAGCCACGGGGAACUGCAAGCAAGUAUUGAUCCGUGGAUAUCCGAAUGGGGAAACCCGGCCAUCGUCAUGGAUGGUCACCCGCAAGGGAGGGAACCUGGGGAACUGAAACAUCUAAGUACCCGGAGGAAGAGAAAUCAAACGAGAUGCCCACAGUAGCGGCGAGCGAAGAGGGCAGAGCCCAAACCGAGAAGCUCCGGCUUUUCGGGGUUGAGGACCGGCAGAAUCGAAGUCAGGCCUAGUUGAAUUACCUGGAAAGGUAAGCGAGAGAGGGUAAAAGCCCCGUAGACGAAAGGCAGAGCAGAGAGGCCGAGAUCCAGAGUACCACGAAGCACGAGGAAUUUUGUGGGAAGCAGGGGGGACCACCCUCCAAGGCUAAAAACUACUUGGCGACCGAUAGCGCAUAGUACCGUGAGGGAAAGGUGAAAAGAACCCCGGGAGGGGAGUGAAAUAGUACCUGAAACCGUAUGUCUACAAGCAGUCGAAGCGAAAGCGACGGCGUGCCUAUUGAAGAAUGAACCAACGAGUUAUCUGCACUAGCGAGGUUAAGUGGAAGACACGGAGCCGCAGCGAAAGCGAGUCUUAAGAGGGCGCUAGUUAGUGUAGGUAGACCCGAAACCGCAGUGAUCUACCCAUGUCCAGGUUGAAGCGCAGGUAAAAUUGCGUGGAGGACCGAACCGGUGAGCGUUGAAAAGCUUUCGGAUGAGAUGUGGGUAGGGGUGAAAUUCCAAUCGAACGCGGAGAUAGCUGGUUCUCCCCGAAAUAGCUUUAGGGCUAGCCUGAGGUAGUAAGUAUAGGCGGUAGAGCACUGAUCGGGCUAGGGGCCGUAAAGGUUACCGAACCCUGUCAAACUCCGAAUGGAUAUACUGUAGAGCCUUGGAGUCAGACUACGAGUGAUAAGAUCCGUGGUCAAAAGGGAAACAGCCCAGACCACCAGCUAAGGUCCCCAAUGUCGUACUAAGUGGAAAAGGAUGUGGGGUUUCAUAAACAACCAGGAUGUUGGCUCAGAAGCAGCCACCAUUUAAAGAGUGCGUAAUAGCUCACUGGUCGAGAGACCCUGCGCCGAAGAUUCCCGGGGCUAAAGUACGAAACCGAAGCUGUGGCUGUAUACGUAAAGUAUACGGGGUAGGGGAGCGUUCCCAUAGGGUAGAAGUCGAACUGGAAGGUUCGGUGGACUUGUGGGAAGUGAGAAUGUUGGUAUGAGUAGCGAAAAGAAAGGUGAGAAUCCUUUCCACCGAAAGCAUAAGGAUUCCUGAGCAACGAUCGUCGUCUCAGGGUAAGUCGGGACCUAAUCCGAGGCAGAGAGCGUAGGAGAUGGACAACUGGUUGAUAUUCCAGUACCGGUAGUAAUUGUUUGAGCAAUGGAGUGACACAGAAGGGCAGGCAAGCAUGCGAAUGGAAGAGCAUGUGUAAGCGUGUAGGGUGGUGCAUAGGCAAAUCCGUGCACUGAAAGCCUGAGGCGUGAUGCGGAGUGAGCAGAGAUGCGAGCGAAGUUGUUGACCCCACACUGUCGAGAAAAGCUUCUAGUGAGAGAGCUACCGCCCGUACCGUAAACCGACACAGGUAUGCGGGGAGAGAAUCCUAAGGUGCGCGGGAGAACCCUCGUUAAGGAACUCGGCAAAAUGUACCCGUAACUUCGGGAUAAGGGUAGCCACUGUUGUGAAGUCCCACGCGGAUGGAGCAUAGAGUGGUCGCAGAGAAGAGGCCCAAGCGACUGUUUACCAUAAACACAGGUGCCUGCUAAAGCGAAAGCUGACGUAUAGGUGCUGACACCUGCCCAGUGCCGGAAGGUUAAGGAAGGAUGUUCGGAUUAGUCCAAAGCAUUCGACUGAAGCCCCGGUGAACGGCGGCCGUAACUAUAACGGUCCUAAGGUAGCGAAAUUCCUUGUCGGGUAAGUUCCGACCCGCACGAAAGGUGUAACGAUUUGGGCACUGUCUCAACGAGGGACCCGGUGAAAUUGAAAUACCUGUGAAGAUGCAGGUUACCCGCGACUGGACAGAAAGACCCCAUGGAGCUUUACUGUAACCUGACAUUGGGUUUUGAUACAUUACGUACAGGAUAGGUGGGAGGCUUGGAAAGUUGGACGCUAGUCUGACUGGAGCCGACGUUGGGAUACCACCCUUGAUGUAUUGAAAUUCUAACCGCGAGAGUAACGAAAUCCGGGACAGUGUCAGGCGGGCAGUUUGACUGGGGCGGUCGCCUCC